GUCUCUGUCGCGCAAUGGGUUAGCGCGUUCGGCUGUUAACCGAAAGGUUGAUGGUUCGCAUCCAUCCAGGGACG
rnacentral:tRNA from 1 species